rnacentral:rRNA from 1 species
GACGAACGCUGGCGGCGUGCCUAAUACAUGCAAGUAGAACGCACAGUUUAUACCGUAGCUUGCUACACCAUAGACUGUGAGUUGCGAACGGGUGAGUAACGCGUAGGUAACCUGCCUGGUAGCGGGGGAUAACUAUUGGAAACGAUAGCUAAUACCGCAUAAUAUUAAUUAUUGCAUGAUAAUUGAUUGAAAGAUGCAAUUGCAUCACUACCAGAUGGACCUGCGUUGUAUUAGCUAGUAGGUGAGGUAACGGCUCACCUAGGCGACGAUACAUAGCCGACCUGAGAGGGUGAUCGGCCACACUGGGACUGAGACACGGCCCAGACUCCUACGGGAGGCAGCAGUAGGGAAUCUUCGGCAAUGGACGAAAGUCUGACCGAGCAACGCCGCGUGAGUGAAGAAGGUUUUCGGAUCGUAAAGCUCUGUUGUAAGAGAAGAACGGGUGUGAGAGUGGAAAGUUCACACUGUGACGGUAUCUUACCAGAAAGGGACGGCUAACUACGUG